rnacentral:lncRNA from 1 species
AUUGGUAGAAAUGGGAAAAUAAAAGAACAUAUUUGAAAAUAAAAAAUGGUUCAAAUUUCUGGGCAUGAGCGGUUUGGCGACCGGUUUGGUGGGAGUGGCAAUGUCAAUAGAAACUUAAGCGACUAAUAAAAUUAUGAAAAAUUAACCAACAAUUUUUCAAAAAUUUAGGCGCGGCAGUUUUGGGCGAUUGUAGGGCGAAUCUAGUGUACCCUUUUACUUUACUUUACGUGUAACGGGUAUAAAGAGCUGAUACAAUGAGAAGGUGGGAAACUGACCGGAAAACGUAAAGCCGACGCUGUCGAUGUACUAGGCCAAGUUGACAGGUUGCUUGUGAGGCUCGAGUGCAGGGAAAUAGAAGGAGAGAGUGGAGGGGAGAGCCGUGCACUGCAAACUGCAAGCGCGGGAGACACCCGCUGACUAUAUGAGGGACUUAAUCGAGAGAGUCUCGAAAACUUGGAAAACCAGCCAGAGGAGGUAGGACACGUAACAGACCAAAUGGAGACCACAAUGGGUGAAGCAGCCGGAGGAAUAGAACUACCACCACUUGGCUAUACUAGGUGUCCCUCCAGUGUGCUUCCGCGGUACCAGUCAAGUUCAGAAGACCGGUCGGAUGCUACGGACAGGCGUGAACGAGAGCUAAUGAAAAUGAGCGUACAAAUAAACGCUCUGAAGAAGAAGGUGGAUGAAUUACACGCCGCAGAGACCUUUACGGAGCAAGACCAAUACCACCACAUGCACUACCUAGAAUUCGUACGGAUAGCUUUCUAAGGCUUCAAGACACACCGACACCAGUAAAAGUGUCGCAAGAGUGCUGUAACGACCAGAUGCAUCGAUUGAGGGAGCCCAGGCGAACGGCGAAACCACAGUAGAUACCUUAAGAAUGCGUUGCCGAGGAACCCAGUCACCAGUUUUUCUCCAAGUAAUGACCAUCACCUCCGGUUUUCGAAUUCGUAAAAUUUUUUGAUUUGUGAAAUGGGUACUUUUGUCUGUCCGAAAUGCCUGUAAAAGUAAAGUAAAUGCCUGUUUUCAUAUCAAAUCAGAUCUUAUUUUUAAAGGGAAAAUUAGUUCACUUAGCCUAUUGAUGUUUAUUCCAUAUCCCCAAAAUGUCAUUCUAGCCACUAAGGUAUUUUAUAAUAAAUUUAUUUGCGACUCUACCACAGAUUUGACAUA